rnacentral:rRNA from 1 species
AUGAACGCUGGCAGCGUGCCUAAUACAUGCAAGUCGAGCGAACAGACGAGGAGCUUGCUCCUCUGACGUUAGCGGCGGACGGGUGAGUAACACGUGGAUAACCUACCUAUAAGACUGGGAUAACUUCGGGAAACCGGAGCUAAUACCGGAUAAUAUAUUGAACCGCAUGGUUCAAUAGUGAAAAACGGUUUUGCUGUCACUUAUAGAUGGAUCCGCGCCGCAUUAGCUAGUUGGUAAGGUAACGGCUUACCAAGGCGACGAUGCGUAGCCGACCUGAGAGGGUGAUCGGCCACACUGGAACUGAGACACGGUCCAGACUCCUACGGGAGGCAGCAGUAGGGAAUCUUCCGCAAAGGGCGAAAGCCUGACGGAGCAACGCCGCGUGAGUGAUGAAGGUCUUCGGAUCGUAAAACUCUGUUAUUAGGGAAGAACAAAUGUGUAAGUAACUAUGCACGUCUUGACGGUACCUAAUCAGAAAGCCACGGCUAACUACGUG